CAAAAACAUCGCCUCCCGCAAAAAUCAACGUAUAGGAGGUCUUGCCUGCCCAGUGACUAUAAGUUAAACGGCCGCGGUAUUUUGACCGUGCAAAGGUAGCGCAAUCACUUGUCUUUUAAAUGAAGACCUGUAUGAAUGGUGGAACGAGGGCUUAACUGUCUCCCCCCUCUAGUCAAUGAAAUUGAUCUACCCGUGCAGAAGCGGGUAUAAUAAUACAAGACGAGAAGACCCUUUGGAGCUUAAGACAAAAGACCAACUAUGUCAAAAGUCCUAAAAAUAGACUAAACCAAAUAGCACUGGUCCCAGUCUUCGGUUGGGGUGACCGCGGGAGAAAAUAAAGCUCCCAUGCGGACUGGGGUAACCCCCUAAAACUGAGAGAGACAUCUCUAAGGCACAGAACAUCUGACCAAAAAGAUCCGGCCAUACGCCGACCAACGAACCAAGUUACCCUAGGGAUAACAGCGCAAUCCCCUUCCAGAGUCCAUAUCGACAAGGGGGUUUACGACCUCGAUGUUGGAUCAGGACAUCCUAAUGGUGCAGCCGCUAUUAAGGGUUC
rnacentral:rRNA from 1 species